GCGGGCAUAGUUCAGUGGUAGAAUGUCUCCUUCCCAAGGAGAAGAUCGCGAGUUCGAGUCUCGUUGCCCGCUCCA
rnacentral:tRNA from 10 species